AGCGAACGCUGGCGGCAGGCCUAACACAUGCAAGUCGAACGAACUCUUCGGAGUUAGUGGCGGACGGGUGAGUAACACGUGGGAACGUGCCUUUUGGUUCGGAAUAACUCAGGGAAACUUGUGCUAGUAACGAAUGUGCCCUUCGGGGGAAAGAUUUAUCGCCAUUAGAGCGGCCCGCGUCUGAUUAGCUAGUUGGUGAGGUAAAAGCUCACCAAGGCGACGAUCAGUAGCGGGUCUGAGAGGAUGACCAGCCACACUGGGACUGAGACACGGCACAGACUCCUACGGGAGGCAGCAGUGGGGAAUCUUGCGCAAUGGGCGAAAGCCUGACGCAGCCAUGCCGCGUGAAUGAUGAAGGUCUUAGGAUUGUAAAAUUCUUUCACCGGGGACGAUAAUGACGGUACCCGGAGAAGAAGCCCCGGCUAACUUCGUGCCAGCCGCCGCCGUAAUAC
rnacentral:rRNA from 1 species